GGAAUAUGAAAAUAUAAGGGAAGAUGCCACUGAUAGUCAUCUCAAGGAUGUAGAGAAUGAUGGUUUUUUCUCCAUCUUGGCCAAACCAAAGGUUGGCGAGUUGGCAAAGUCAUUCCUCUGGGAACCCUUUCUCCCAGUACCCUUUCUCCCAGUAUACAUCUAUCUAAGCAUAAGCUGCAAGUUUUGCCUGUCAUACAACAACCUAAUGCUGCACUCAUUGGUUUCGUUACACAGCAUCAAUGUGACUAGUAUGACAAAGAUACACAUUUCUAUGCGAUGACAGAAUUUUAACUGUCGAAGAAUUUGUUCGCACAAAGACCGACAAGACAAACACUGAACCAACCAUUGAGCAUGAUCAUCGUGCUGAUCACAUGGCAGGAAGUUUCAACCUGAAAAACAGCUUAACACCGAGAAUGGAUUCACCGGUAACCAACAAGAAAAACGCUACACUGAAGCAAGUAAUGGAGCAUAUGACAGAGACUAAUAGCAAUUUCAGUUUUCUGAUGAAUGAAAAUGAACAAGUUACUGGUUUGAUAACAGUGAGAGAUAUAAUUCUGCAAUUUGCACCUCCAUGUGUGAAAUUGGUGGUGGCGGAUUUUUUUAAUUGGCUUUGGAGCAAAGUGGAUGUCAUGUUAGUAAUGGAACUAUCAUUCGUAAUCAUUGAUCAAGGUAUGUGUUCCAACGACAAACACAGAAUCUGUUCAGGAAUUUGGAUUUUCUACUGUUAAAAAUGACAGUCGAAACGAUCUUAAUUGUUAGUAAAAAUCAGAUGGCUGA